rnacentral:rRNA from 1 species
AUUAGAUAAAAAACCAAUGCCCUUCGGGGCUUUCUGGUGAUUCAUAAUAACUUAACGAAUCGCAUGGCCUUGAGCCGGCGAUGGUUCAUUCAAAUUUCUGCCCUAUCAACUUUCGAUUGUAGGAUAGAGGCCUACAAUGGUUUCAACGGGUAACGGAGAAUUAGGGUUCGAUUCCGGAGAGGGAGCCUGAGAAACGGCUACCACAUCCAAGGAAGGCAGCAGGCGCGCAAAUUACCCAAUCCCGACACGGGGAGGUAGUGACAAUAGAUACUGAUACAGGGCUCUUUUGGGUCUUGUAAUUGGAAUGAGUACAAUUUAAAUCCCUUAACGAGGAACAAUUGGAGGGCAAGUCUGGUGCCAGCAGCCGCGGUAAUUCCAGCUCCAAUAGCGUAUAUUAAAGUUGUUGCAGUUAAAAAGCUCGUAGUUGAACCUUGGGUCUGGCUGGCCGGUCCGCCUCACCGCGUGCACUGGUCCGGCCCGGACCUUUCCUCUUGGGGAUCCGCAUGCCCCUUUACUGGG